AAUGUGAAAAAACAUGCAGAACUGAGUGCCAUUUUCAUUUCUUUGUCUCAACAGAUUGAUCAUGUGUUCCACAGACAAUACCCAGAGUCAUUCAUUACAUCCAGGAUUGACCACUUCAGUUCAGUCUCAGCAGUGGUGGUCCUGGACCUUUUCUUUCGGAGGGAGCUGAUAAGUCCCCAAGACUGUGAGCUCAUAACAUCUUUGGAGGCACUGACAAUGCAGCACUUAAUUGGCCUGAACAUUGAUCCCAAAUCCAUACGCAUCAUUGACAUAGCAAACUUUACAACUAUACAGACCCCUAAACCUCACAGUUUUGUCACACCGCUGAGUACAUCAAACAAAGUUUCAGUGAUUUCUUCCACAAAACCAUAUACAAAAACUGAAAUGC